CAUUCACAACCACCACCUUCGUCCUCCCCUUCCCUCUCACAAAAAAAAUCUCACUGUAUAUAUGUACAUUUCCAGAUUCUAGAAUCAUUAGUUGAUUGGAUAGGAUUGGAUUUUGUUAACAAAAGAGAUCAAUAUAUGUAUGUAAUUGAAUUUGUAGCUGUCGCAUGAAUUUCUCACUCGAAAAUGGCCUCUGUAGCUCUACUUUCUUCACAUCAUUCCCCGAAUCCCUUGCAAUUUCCAGUUCGCUACCCUCAAUUUCAUCUUAUUUUGACGGGAAUUGAACCAUCGCAGUCAAAAUGCGAGUUUUCUGGAAAAUUGUUGUUGUUGCAAAGGAGUAAGGAUUUCCUGCACUCGAUUCCACUGAAGAAAGGUGCAAUUAAGUGUUUUUCGGAAUCCAAGGAGAGGGAGAGUGUGACAGAAGUAUUAAAUAAGGAUGGGGAUGAUGUAGUCGGUGAUGACGUUUCUGAUGGGGAGGUGGCUUGUCAGGAGUUCUCUAACGGUUCUGUUGGUUCGGUGAGGAGUCCGAUCUCGAAUUCUGUCUCUGGGGAUUCGUUGAAUCUUGGAAUUCGUGAACCUGUCUAUGAGGUUGUGGAAGUAAGGUCAGAUGGGAAUGUAUCUACCAGAAAAAUAAUGAGACGACACUUGUUGAAGUCAAGCGGUCUCCGUCCUCGAGAUAUUAGAAGUGUUGAUCCAUCAUUGUGGUUAACCAACUCAAUGCCGUCUUUGCUGGUACGAGAGCAUGCAAUUUUGCUCAACUUGGGCUCUUUGCGAGCGAUAGCAAUGCAAGAAAAUGUUUAUAUAUUCAACUAUAAUCGUAAAGGUGGAAAAGCUUUUAUUGAUGCAUUGUUGCCCCGCCUAAAUCCAAAGACCAUGAAUGGAGGACCAUCAAUGCCAUUUGUCCUUGAGGUGGUUGAGGCAGCACUACAUUCACGGAUACAGCGUUUGGAGCAGAGAUUAUGGGAUUUAGAACCACGUGUGCAAGCAUUACUUGAGGCUUUGCCAAACAGAUUGACAGGUGACAUAUUGGAGGAACUUCGAAUUAGCAAGCAGAGAUUGGUUGAAUUGGGCUCACGAGCGGGAGCACUCAAACAAAUGCUGCUUGAUAUUCUUGAGGACACACAUGAAAUACGACGCAUUUGUAUUAUGGGAAGAAACUGUACCCUUCAGAAAAAUGAUGAGAUGGAAUGCUCUGUUCCCCUGGAAAAGCAGAUUGCUGAGGAGGAGGAAGAAGAAAUUGAAAUGCUUUUAGAAAACUAUCUCCAAAGAAAUCAUGCGGGAAGCAUCACUUGCUGCAGUGUGAAUCUUGUCAUGGUCAGGCAGAGAGGCUUCUUGAUUCAGCGAAAGAAAUGGAAGAUUCCAUUGCAGUCAACCUUAGCUCUCGGAGGCUUGAGGUAAGCAGAGUGGAACUUCUUCUUCAGGUUGGGACAUUUUGUAUUGCAGUUGGUGCUCUAGUUGCAGGUAUAUUUGGCAUGAACUUGAAGUCCUACCUUGAGGAGCGUGCGUUUGCAUUUUGGAUAACAACUACAGGAAUUAUUGUUGGUGCAGUAGUUGCAUUUUUUAUAUUGUAUUCAUACCUUAGGAAAAGGAAAAUACUAUAAACACGAGAACGAUGUCGUCGUUUUUAUAGGGAACAAUGGAUACUGCUGAGCAAGGAGAAAUGGAGAGAGAAAUUAGCUAAAGAUCAACUGUGUUUCUAUAUCUAUAUCACAAGUUGAUGGCUCCUUGCUACAUAGAGACCAAAUUCAACAACCAACACAUCCCUUUUCGCAUACAGUAUUUUCUGGACUAUAAUCGUAUUGAGUUAUUAGGCUGUCUAUGUUGUGGAGAGCUUCCACUACAAGAGUUGAAGUAGGCGUUCCUUUAUUUGCCUCCAUCCAAAUUUUACAGUUAUUUGGAAGCGAGGUCAUAGUCCCGUCUACUUAUUAUAAGUUGCUCAUGCAAUGACAGUGUAGAUGUUGGCUUUUGAAUAGGCAGAGUUGAGUUUGUUUGACUGGACUCGAAUUGCAAUUUACCACCAUUACAUAUGCAAUCUUCUUGUUUUGUACAUGUUUAUGAUCAAUAUGCUAACAAGUCAUUCACUGUUA